UACGUAGGGUGCAAGCGUUGUCCGGAAUUAUUGGGCGUAAAGGGCUCGUAGGCGGUCCAUCGCGUCGGGUGUGAAAAGCUGGGGCUCAACCCCAGUCCUGCUUCCGAUACGGGUGGACUAGAGGUAUGCAGGGGAGAACGGAAUUCCUGGUGUAGCGGUGAAAUGCGCAGAUAUCAGGAGGAACACCGGUGGCGAAGGCGGGUCUCUGGGCAGUAACUGACGCUGAGGAGCGAAAGCGUGGGGAGCAAACAGG
rnacentral:rRNA from 1 species